rnacentral:tRNA from 3 species
CGCGGGGUGGAGCAGUUGGCAGCUCGUCGGGCUCAUAACCCGAAGGUCGCAGGUUCGAGUCCUGUCCCCGCAACCA